rnacentral:rRNA from 1 species
ACUUGCCAUCGAAUACGCCAUGCACGUUCUAAGUUUAAAUUGUUAUACAGUUGAAACUUGCGAAGAGCUCAUUCAAACAGUUAUGAGUUUAUUUUGAUAUUUCGAACACUACAUGAGAUAACCGUGGGUAAUUUCUAGAGCUAAUACAUCGCUUCUCAAGCCCGAACUUCUUAGGAGGAAGCUCGUAUUUAUUAGAUAACAAACCAAUAUUUCCUUCGCGUCUAUUCGUGAUGAACUCAUAAUAACUCGAUCGAAUCGCAUGGGACCUUCGUCCGCGAUACGUCAUUUCAAGUUUUCUGCCCCCCAUCAGCUUUUUCGAUGGGUAGUGGUAUUGGGAACUACCAUGGGCUUUUUAACGGGGUAACGGAGGAAUUAGGGGUUCGAUUUCCGGAGAGGGGAGCCCUGGAAGAAACGGCUACCACAUCUAAGGGAAGAGCAGCAGAGCGCGUAAAUUUACCCAAUCCUGGACUCAGGGGAGGGUAGUGGACAAGAAAUAACGG